UUUUAUGGAGAGUUUGAUCCUGGCUCAGGACGAACGCUGGCGGCGUGCCUAAUACAUGCAAGUCGAGCGAACAGAUAAGGAGCUUGCUCCUUUGACGUUAGCGGCGGACGGGUGAGUAACACGUGGGCAACCUACCUUAUAGUUUGGGAUAACUCCGGGAAACCGGGGCUAAUACCGAAUAAUCUAUUUUACUUCAUGGUGAAAUACUGAAAGACGGUCUCGGCUGUCGCUAUAAGAUGGGCCCGCGGCGCAUUAGCUAGUUGGUGAGGUAACGGCUCACCAAG
rnacentral:rRNA from 1 species